AGUCUGUUUGGACAGAAAUACAGAAAGAAUUACGACAGUCACAUUUUCUUUUGUAAAAACCCUACAGAUACCAUUCACACAGAAAGGAAUUUUCGCUGGGGAGGCACAUUGGCUCGCUUCCCUCACACUUCCAAGGUUAAACAAGACUGAAACCAAGAACCCUGAGAAAACAUGGGCGACGCAUUAAACCAAAAUGCAACUGCAAACUCUUUCGUGCGUCCUCAGUAUUUUUUCAUCACUGGUUUUUCUAACAUACCUCAUGCUCAGUACUACUUCAUAUUCUUGUGUUUGGUUUAUGUGGUCACUGUCUUGGGGAACUCCUUUGUCACACUCAUUAUUUAUGUAGACCGUUCUCUUCACACCCCAAAAUAUAUGGCUAUUUUUAUUUUAGCUGUAGCUGACUUGGGUGAGAGUACUGCUGUUUUUCCUAAUGUGAUUAAUGUCUGCCUGUUAAAUAUACAUCAAAUAACAUAUGAGGCCUGUGUGUCUAACAUGUUUUUUAUAUUUUUUUUUUGUUCAGUGCAAUCUGUCAUGCUUACUGUUCUAGCAUAUGACAGGUUUGUAGCAAUUUGCUUCCCACUGAGAUACCACAGCAUUGUCACAAACACAACAAUGGGCAUUAUUCUCACUGUGGGAUGCAUAUAUAACUUUCUGUUUAUGAUGACUUCAAUGCUAUUGGUCACUAGGCUGUCUUUCUGUAAAUCCAUAGUGAUUGACAGCUAUUUCUGUGACCACGGGCCUCUAUACAGACUAGCUUGCAAUGAUAACCUGCCGAAUUAUAUAAUGGCAAUAUUAUUCACAACACUACAUUUUCUUCUACCAUUGUCUCUGAUUUGUUUAUCUUAUGUAUGUAUUUUGUUGGCGCUGUUUAAAAUUGCAUCAUGGGAAGGACGUCUAAAAGCCUUAAAGACCUGUUUUUCCCACCUAAUAUUAGUAUCAGCAUAUUAUUUUCCAAUAUUGGGCAUUUACAUAGGUGCAAUGGCCGGCUCUGUCCACCGCAAUACAAGGAUCAUUAAUAUAUCGCUUUCAUAUGCCAUUCCUGCCAUGCUGAACCCCAUUGUGUAUUCUCUGAACACUGCUGAGAUCAAGGACUUUGUAAAAAAAAUGUUCAGAAGAAAAAAAUACAAGAGCACAACAGUAACUACGGCAAACAAUAAGUGACAAAUAAUCAACUAAUCAACAAGUGGUUCAGAGACAUUAACAUGAAAUUAAUUCAGGUUUAUUUGUUAUGUACAGUCUAGAAAGAUAGGUUAGUUAUUCCUGCGUUGGAGACUUCAAAAUGAAUGUUAAAUUGUUUAAAGAAUGUUAUUGUUAAACAAUAAAUUACUGUGUGUAUAUAUACUUCAGGGCUGUGAAUGCGUUAAAAAAUAUAACCAAUUAAUCGAAGAGUUUUCUGAGAUGUGAAAAAAAUGACAAAACUAAUAAAAACUGAGCAAAAAUUGGCAUCAAAUUAACUGUUUAGUGUUUUAUUACAUGCAAUAAACUUGAAGCAUUUAAAAGCUGUUUGUGUUUUUGUUACUGAGUUUUGGCUA